rnacentral:tRNA from 1 species
GCACCCGUAGCUCAGUGGAUUAGAGCAUCUGUCUUCGGAACAGAGGGCCGUACGUUCGAAUCGUACCGGGUGUACCA